GCCUUCGGGGUGUAACGGUAGCAAACUCGGCGGGUAUUCGAGGGGUCCAGGUUCGAAUCCCGGCGAGGGCA
rnacentral:tRNA from 1 species